rnacentral:tRNA from 7 species
GCCCUUGUAGCUCAGUUGGUAGAGCAGCGGUUUUGUAAACCGAAGGUCGCGGGUUCGAUUCCUGCCGGGGGCACCA